AUUCAGGUUUGGUUGCUUUGGAGUACAGCUUCAAGUGAAGUUAAUCUGAGGUGAAGCAAACAGAAAAUUGUGGAGGUUUUGUUGGAAUGAAUCUGAAGUCUGCUGCAGUAAAACACAGAAGGCUUUAAAAUGUUUUCUUGCAUAAAAUUCAAAACUUUUAAGUAGCUGCUUAUGAGAAUAGGGAAGGCAGAAAGCUAAUGUCUGUCUCAAGAUACAGGACAGCUGUUUGCUCAUCAACCUCAACUGUGUUUCACAUCCUGGGAAUACUGUAUUUUCAAUCUGAGGUUGGUGGAGUCGCCGGUAGCCACCUAAGAUAGGAAUGUCAAUCAGAAGUUUUCUAGAAUCUAUCUUCAGAUGCAAACAAUACAGUGGCCUCUUGGUGUGCAACUGAGGAACAUGGCUCAAGAAACUAAUCACAGCCAAGUGCCUAUGCUUUGUUCCACUGGCUGUGGAUUUUAUGGAAACCCUCGUACAAAUGGCAUGUGUUCAGUA
rnacentral:lncRNA from 1 species